GUGGGGAAUCUUGCGCAAUGGGCGAAAGCCUGACGCAGCCAUGCCGCGUGAAUGAUGAAGGUCUUAGGAUUGUAAAAUUCUUUCACCGGGGACGAUAAUGACGGUACCCGGAGAAGAAGCCCCGGCUAACUCCGUGCCAGCAGCCGCGGUAAUACGGAGGGGGCUAGCGUUGUUCGGAAUUACUGGGCGUAAAGCGCACGUAGGCGGACUGGAAAGUCAGGGGUGAAAUCCCGGGGCUCAACCCCGGAACUGCCUUUGAUACUGGGUGUCUUGAGUAUGAGAGAGGUGUGUGGAACUCCGAGUGUAGAGGUGAAAUUCGUAGAUAUUCGGAAGAACACCAGUGGCGAAGGCGACACACUGGCUCAUUACUGACGCUGAGGCGCGAAAGCGUGGGGAGCAAACAGGAUUAGAUACCCCGGUAGUCC
rnacentral:rRNA from 1 species